AAAGCAGACUGGGUAGUCGCGGGGACAUAUUGUCCUCGAGGAAAGUCCGAGCUCCAUAGGGCAGGAUGCUGGGUAACUCCCAGUGAGGGUGACCUCAAGGAAAGUGCCACAGAAAUUAAACCGCCAAGCAGAGCGGGAUAUCCCGCUCUGCUUGGUAAGGAUGAAACGGUGCGGUAAGAGCGCACCAGCGGUCAGGCGACUGGCCGGCUAGGCAAACCCCAUCC
rnacentral:RNase_P_RNA from 1 species